rnacentral:misc_RNA from 1 species
AAGACUAUAGACCUGCGGAGUACCUGCGGAAGGAUCAUUAUUGAAAUAUGAUUUCCAUCUUACCCUUGUGUUGUUUUUUUUUCUUUUUCUUUUUUAAUCUGAGAAUAGAAUGUCAGAGUUUAUAAAAAUGAAAUAUAUAAAACUUUCAACAAUGGAUCUCU